GGUGCUCUAUCUCUCUAUAAUUGGUUCACUCUCUAACACACACUAAACUGGUGCUCUCUCUCUAUAAUUGGUUCUCUCUCCACCAUACACAAAAAUCUCUCUCUAACGCGCACACAAUAAAAUCUCUCUCUUUUUUGACACUCUCUCUCUCUCUGACCCAUACACACACUAAAAGAUAGGAAUUCGGUGGAGAUGGGGAAUUGAUACAGUUUUCUUUCUCUUCUCCAGAGCAGGCUUAACAUCAGAACCUUAUGCUUAUCCUGAUUAUCAAAGGAAUCUAUCGAAUUAUGGAGGUGCUUUCAUGGAGCACCAAUCCUCUCUCCCUUCAAACAUAACUAGAAACCUUCUACAACAAACAAAUGAGGUAAUUCCCUCAUAUUUAUCACUUCAUCACAUAACCCUAUUUCUUAGUCUGUUUUAUUUUUAUUAAUGUCAAUUCUUAUCUUUUCUGAUCAUUUUAUCAGGAUUCGGUGCCAAAGAGGCGACGAGGCGGUUCAAUUGGAUCGAGUAGCCGCAACUCGGAUUCUGGGGAUGAGAGAGAAGUGGAUCUUGAUCUUAAACUUUCUCUCUAGGUCUUCAUCUCUCUCUCUCUCUCUCUCUCUCUCUCUCUCUCUCUCAAGGUUCAAGCUGGUGCAAUUGGGUUGAUCAAAUGGUUGUAGAUUUUUAGCUAUGCCCAAUCCACCAGUAUGUACUGAUGAUAAAAAUGUAGAGUUGCACUGUGUGCAUGGGUCAUCAGUGCCAUGAGAAGAUAAGAAUAGAUGUUCAAGUGGUUAGGGUUUACAUAUAGCAAUCAAAUGAAAACUGAGCAUCGUACGAGUUUGAUUUUGUAUUGCCUUCACCCUUAUUCUAUAUAAUUGAUAUGAGCAGCAAGAAUGAAAUCUGUCACGGGAGGAAAGAACAGUAAAAAGGUGUCGUGCAAUCUCUCUCUCUCUCUCUCUCUCUCUCUCUCUCUCUCU
rnacentral:lncRNA from 1 species